CGCAUUANCUAGUUGGUGGAGUUAACNGGCUCANCAAGNCGACGAUGCGUAGCCGACCNNAGAAGGUGAUCNNNCCACACUNGGACUGAGACACGGCNCANNCUCCUACGGGAGGCAGCAGUAGGGAAUCUUUNCGCAAUGGACGAAAGUCUGACGGAGCAACCCGGCGUGAGCGAAGAAGGCCUUCGGGUCNUAAAGCUCUGUUGUUAGGGAAGAACAAGUACGAGAGUAACUUCGUACCUUGACGNGUACCUAACCAGAAAGCCACGGCUAACUACGUGCCAGCAGCCGCGGUAAUACGUAGGUGGCAAGCGUUGUCCGGAAUUAUUGGGCGUAAAGCGCGCGCAGGCGGUUUCUUAAGUCUGAUGUGAAAGCCCACGGCUCAACCGUGGAGGGUCAUUGGAAACUGGGGAACUUGAGUGCAGAA
rnacentral:rRNA from 1 species